GUAGAUUUGAGGGAAAGGUGAAAAAUAAGGAGGUCUGGGAACGACUGAAGAAGACAGCAGUGAGGGAAGGAAGUAAUCACCAGAAUCUGCCAGAGAAGGAUAUUGACAAUGCAGGCUCAGGAUGAAGAAGAGGAGGAAGAACAUGUUUAACAAUUUUCUCAUAAACUUGCCAUGUGUUAUAAUAAAAACAAUGAACAUGACUACAGUAAUAUGCUAAAUGGUAUUAAAAGAUUCCAGUUUGCAAGAAAUCUGAGUCUCUGACUCUACACUAGAGGAACUCUUUCCUGAAGAAGAUCAGGUGCUGAGAAGGAGCCUUGUUCUACAGCAAAACACUGCAUCAAGCUUCCUGUCCUUCCCUCAGAAGAGCCUGUCUUCUGCUGCUGGGGUAAGAAAGACACUCUUCCUCUUCUCUAUCGGCUGUCCAGCACCUAACUCUGCCUCCUCAGCACUGACUGAAAGAGUCUUCUCCACAGUUCGUUAUCAGAGUAUUCACAGAUUCUCCUGAGAAAGUCAAUAUGCUCAUUUUCUUAAACUGUUUGUGUUUUUUUUGGGGUGGGAAAAAUAAUACAGGAGAGAUGCUAGAAAUCUCUAUAUUUUUCAUUUUUCAUAUCUUUACCCUUUAUGAAUGUUUUUUUUUUUUUAAUCUUCUGAGAAGCUCAAGAAUUAUGGUUCUUUGGUAACUGCAAUAUUGUUUAGGUUUAUUUUCUGAUAGUGAGACAUGCAAGAAAAAAAUAAAUAAAUCGUGUCCACGAUUUACUAAUUCGUUCCUUCAAUGUACUAAAAACGUGCACGAUUACUUUGACAUUUCAUCGAUUUGCUAAAUCGUCCGCUCAAUUUACUAAUUUGUUCUCUCGAUUUAUAAAAUAGUGUACACGAUUAAGCAAGUCGAGGGAAUGAAAUAGUAAAUCGUGGCACGAUUUAGCCUACUUUUUUUUUUCUGCAUGCCGUGUAAUUAAAGCACAUCACCACCAGACAUUUAUACCAGAUGCCUCAUAUAUGACGCUCAGGAAACAAUUUAACUUUUUUUCUGGAAAAAAAGUGCCGUAUCUGCUGAAUUGUUUCAUAUCUAUUUAUCAUGUCUUUAUUUUUUGCACCAAAUUAUGUAGAGUUGUAUCAAUGAGUGUACUGAUAAUUAUUUAUAAUUUUCACUGAUAACGUCAUUAUUAACUAUCCCCAUCCUUAAGACAGACAUUUUCUAUUGUUUAUAUUGUGUAAUCUAUGAAUUGAUGUGUUCAGUUUUCUGUGCUCAUAACUUGCAUGGUUGAAGAACAGGUGCAAUGUUCAAAAUGUUUUGGCUUAGUAUUUUUAGAAAGUAGUGCUUAAUAAAUGUUGAUUUGUGAAUGAA